GAUGAACGCUGGCGGCGUGCCUAAUACAUGCAAGUCGAGCGAACAGACGAGGAGCUUGCUCCUCUGACGUUAGCGGCGGACGGGUGAGUAACACGUGGAUAAUCUACCUGUAAGACUGGGAUAACUUCGGGAAACCGGAGCUAAUACCGGAUAAUAUAUUGAACCGCAUGGUUCAAUAGUGAAAGACGGUUUUGCUGUCACUUAUAGAUGGAUCCGCGCCGCAUUAGCUAGUUGGUAAGGUAACGGCUUACCAAGGCAACGAUGCGUAGCCGACCUGAGAGAGUGAUCGGCCGCACUGGAGCUGAGACACGGUCCAGACUCCUACGGGAGGCAGCAGUAGGGAAUCUUCCGCAAUAGGCGAAAGCCUGACGGAGCAACGCCGCGUGAGUGAUGAAGGUCUUCGGAUCGUAAAACUCUGUUAUUAGGUAAGAACAAAUGUGUAAGUAACUAUGCACGUCUUGACGGUACCUAAUCAGAAAGCCACGGCUAACUACGUG
rnacentral:rRNA from 1 species